rnacentral:tRNA from 1 species
ACUUUUAAUGGACAAAAGUGAUCCAA